CCUACGGGAGGCAGCAGUGAGGAAUAUUGGUCAAUGGUCGGGAGACUGAACCAGCCAAGCCGCGUGAGGGAUGAAGGUACAGAGUAUCGUAAACCUCUUUUGUCAGGGAACAAAGGCGGGGACGUGUCCCCGGAUGAGUGUACCUGAAGAAAAAGCAUCGGCUAACUCCGUGCCAGCAGCCGCGGUAAUACGGAGGAUGCGAGCGUUAUCCGGAUUUGUUGGGUUUAAAGGGUGCGCAGGCGGUCUGUUAAGUCAGCGGUCAAAGCCCGGGGCUCAACCCCGGCCCGCCGUUGAAACUGGCAGUCUCGAGUUGGAGAGAAGUAUGCGGAAUGCGCGGGGUAGCGGUGAAAUGCAUAGAUAUCGCGCAGAACUCCGAUUGCGAAGGCAGCAUGCCGGCUCCACACUGACGCUGAGGCACGAAAGCGUGGGUAUCGAACAGGAUUAGAUACCCCAGUAGUC
rnacentral:rRNA from 1 species